UCCAGACUCCUACGGGAGGCAGCAGUGGGGAAUAUUGCACAAUGGGGGGAACCUUGAUGCAGCAACGCCGCGUGGGUGAAGAAGUACUCCGGUAUGUAAAGCCCUGUCAGCAGGGAAGAAAAUGACGGUACCUGACCAAGAAGCCCCGGCUAACUACGUGCCAGCAGCCGCGGUAAUACGUAGGGGGCAAGCGUUAUCCGGAUUUACUGGGUGUAAAGGGAGCGUAGACGGCUGCGCAAGUCUGAAGUGAAAGCCCGGGGCUCAACCCCGGGACUGCUUUGGAAACUGUGUAGCUAGAGUGCUGGAGAGGCAAGCGGAAUUCCUAGUGUAGCGGUGAAAUGCGUAGAUAUUAGGAGGAACACCAGUGGCGAAGGCGGCUUACUGGACUGUAACUGACGUUGAGGCUCGAAAGCGUGGGGAGCAAACAGGAUUAGAUACCCGAGUAAG
rnacentral:rRNA from 1 species